GUGGGGAUAGCUCAGAUGGGAGAGCGUGAGAUUAAAGAUCUGACGGUCACGUGUUCGAUCCACGUUCACCGCA
rnacentral:tRNA from 1 species